rnacentral:rRNA from 1 species
GACGAACGCUGGCGGCGUGCUUAACACAUGCAAGUCGAGCGAUGAAGCUCCUUCGGGAGUGGAUUAGCGGCGGACGGGUGAGUAACACGUGGGUAACCUGCCUCAUAGAGGGGAAUAGCCUUUCGAAAGGAAGAUUAAUACCGCAUAAGAUUGUAGUAUCGCAUGAUGCAGCAAUUAAAGGAGUAAUCCGCUAUGAGAUGGACCGGCGUCGCAUUAGCUAGUUGGUGAGGUAACGGCUCACCAAGGCGACGAUGCGUAGCCGACCUGAGAGGGUGAUCGGCCACAUUGGGACUGAGACACGGCCCAGACUCCUACGGGAGGCUGCAGUGGGGAAUAUUGCACAAUGGGGGAAACCCUGAUGCAGCAACGCCGCGUGAGUGAUGACGGUCUUCGGAUUGUAAAGCUCUGUCUUCAGGGACGAUAAUGACGGUACCUGAGGAGGAAGCCACGGCUAACUACGUGCCAGCCGCCGCGGUAAUAC